rnacentral:rRNA from 1 species
UACAGAGGUCUCAAGCGUUGUUCGGAUUCAUUGGGCGUAAAGGGUGCGUAGGUGGCAUGGUAAGUCGGAUGUGAAAUCCCGGGGCUCAACCCCGGAACUGCAUUCGAUACUGCUGCGCUAGAGUACUGGGGAGGAGAUUGGAAUUUACGGUGUAGCAGUGAAAUGCGUAGAUAUCGUAAGGAAGACCAGUGGCGAAGGCGGAUCUCUGGACAGUUACUGACACUGAGGCACGAAGGCCAGGGGAGCAAACGGG